rnacentral:lncRNA from 13 species
CGAGACUAUUCAAGCCAUUGACUCACUGAUGAAUGAAGAUGACGAGCGAUCAGCAAAGGCAAUCUGUAAUUUGCUGCCAUCACGGCACGAAAUCAACAUCGCUCUAAUUACAGUAAGAAGACAGUUGAAGAAACUUGGGUGGACUUACGGAAAGGCUUGGUAAGAAAUGUUUUAAAUAUAUAUAUAUUAUUAUUAUUAUUUAUUUUUUUAAUGAUCAGAACAUUAACCUGUGUGUUAAAGUGUGUUCGCUUGUUUUGUACUGUUCUGUAGUUUCGACCCAAUGAUUCAUCUGACAAACAAAAAACUUUGCGUUCUGCAGGCCUAGGCAUGGAUCAAAGCUGGCGAGACAUUCAAUAACGUCAUAUUCACAGACUAAUCAACCGUGGCCCUUGAGCAAUUUGCUAAAAAAAAAAUUAAGACGACCAAGCAAGUAUCCACUCAAACUCCAUGUGUGGGGGGCAAUUUUUUGCCAGGGAACAGGCCCAUAUUUGAUUUUUCAUGGUAAGUUUGGCUAUUUACAAAGCAAAAGGUACAUCAAAUAUUGUAGCCUACAUCUCACAGACUGCUAUGUGUUCCACAAUAAUUCACUCUUGCCUCCUUUUUCAGGAAUCAAGGCUCGAGAUUUGUUUGAGGAAGAAAUCAUUGAGAUAUGCUGGACCCUAUGUCAGAGAGGUGUUUCUGGGUACACAUCGUUUCUUUCAAGAUGCAGACAAUGACCCACAACACACUGCCGCCCAGGUUUGUAUUGCAAAUAAGGGCAUAAACUGGGUCAAGACGCCAGCAGAUUCUCCGGAUUUAAACCCCAUCUAACUUGUUUGGCAUCAACUGAAAACACUCAUCCGUAACUCUGCCAAGCCGACAAGCAAAGAUGAACUGGUCGAGGCCAUCAAGAUGUUUUGGCGCUAGAAAUUGAAGAUGUAACAAUGCAACAAAUACAUUGAUCAUCUCAGCAAGGUUUUACCUGUGGUCGUAGUUUGUUGUUUAUAGUUUGUAGUUUAUAUAAACAUCCACAUUUGAAUGUCUUUUUUCUAAUUAUUUUAUUAAAAAAAGAACAAAGAUGUUGCUGAAUAAGUACUGUACUGCUGUUCUGAGUUAGAAAUGUAACACUUUAGAGUACUUAAGCGUUGAAUACAUUGCAAGUUUGGGGAUUUUCACAACAGUAGCCGGGUUAUAAAAAGCAUAUUGUCCUGCUAAUAGGAAACAUUUGCAUGAUGGGCUUCACCUGCUACAGUUGUGAAAAACAAGUGUUUGAAAACCUGUUUUCAAAAUGCCUCCAGUUGUCCAUCACUACUGUAAAUAAAAACACAGCGUCUUGUUUACAUUCUGUAUUGUGUUACACAUCAUUUGUAUCUACCUUUCCAAUUACUUGUAUAGUUUGGGAUUUAGAAAUGUGCACUUUUAAUUAUUAGUUCCAUUGUUUAGAUCGAAUGUGCAGACUUUUUUUCUUUAAAUGAUUGUUCUAUGUAGGAUGCUGCAUUUUAGACCAGUUGCAAUUAUAAGUAGGCCUAAUAAAGCCUCGUAGCCUACCUCAGCAGGUUAAGUUAUUUUAUAUAGGUCAAGGCUCCAAAGAAAUAGACUCCAAUUAAGCCCUCUUGUUGUUUGUAAAGUCAAAUUAAAAUGAAGAUUAUUGUUGAAAUUAAUUGCUUGUCUGGUGUAGGUUUUCUACAUCUGUUGGUGUGCAACACUUGCAUAACAAGCUAGCUAUAUUAUCAGCACCAGCCUGUGAUACAGACUGAAUUCAAACAUAUAUAUAUAUUUAUUUAAUUUUCAAAACAUGAACCGUGUCUAGGUAGAUACGUGUUUAGGUAGAUGUGGAAAGAUAGACACAAAUGAGGGGGGGGGGGGGGGGGGGNNNNNNNNNNGUUACAUAAAGGAAAGAAACAAAAAAAUCAUGCUAAUUGGCUCUGUGAAUGUGCGUUGAAGUGUUCAGCCUGCAUUACAAACAGAAAUGUUAAAUGCCUUUGUUCACCCACCAAAUACAAUAAGCAUUCUCUCUCUCGUACACACGUACACACACACAAAUCAUACACAAACUAUUUUACCCAAUGCAGCCACUAUUCAAUAUACAGUACAACACAUACACAAGCACACAUCGAGAAUCUAUUUCACACACACAC